GGGUGAGCUAACAGGACUCGUUCUUCCUCUCUUUGCAUUUAAAAAUAUCUGUCUUGCACUGUUUCUGCUUCUGUCAGUUAUUGUCAGCAUCCUAUCCAGAAGAUAUAAUGUAUAGUCUCUAUGCCCUGUGGAAUUUUGGAGAGUGCAUGCUUUCAUCAGAGUCUUCACAAAGUGCUCACAACCGGGCAAAGGGACAGGAAGCAUUCAGAGGCUGUGAUGCUGAGGGAAAAUCAUGGGAGAUGUGCCAAACCUUGUAUAAAUUGAAAGGAUCUAUC
rnacentral:lncRNA from 1 species